UCACAUUUACAUUGUACCUUUAACGUCUGGAUGUGCACAACCAAAUCAUCAGACUAGAUCGUCGGACCACAAGAUGUGCCCGAGGUCCAUCUCUAUAAUCCUGCACCUGCUGUCAGAGAGAGGGUCCUGUCCUCUUUGGUCUAGCCCCUCUGCAUGCUCCAGAUCACCACAUGGCUCAUGCUCCUUAACAGGGUUCCUAUGAAGGUCAUCUAAGGCACAAUAAAGAAAGAAUGGGAAAAGCAGCAGCACUUUCCUGUGCACGCGGAUCUCAGAGGUGUUUUCGUGUGUACUUCCCACUUUGAUGCCAGGGAGAUCCUUGCUGAGGAUGACUAUGGCGGCCAUUUUGAAUCCCUGGCGCACACCUGUGUUGUUUACAUUCUGCUGCAGUUGAACGUGACAUAUCGAGACUUCACACAGGCCACCCACACGGAAGAGCCUUCUUCCUGGAAUCCCUCCAAAUCCCUGUCCAAACCCUCAUGUCUAUGAGGUAAACACACUGAUUACUGCAUUCAGCUCUCAUCACCUGGAUCAUUCCCCUUUUGCCCCCGAGAGAGUGCCAUUUCGGUCACAUACUGCAGCAAUUUUUCGGUGUCACUGAAGUUGCUCUUUUCCUGCUGAUCACAGAGUAUUCGGGCAAUUUCUCUUCUGAUGGUUCAUGCGGGUUUAUGUUUGGAUAAUAGAAGCUGGACAUUGUGAAAAGGAAGCCAGCAUGGAGUUUACCUUUCUCAAUCAAGAUGCACACCUUUGAAUCUCCUUCUGGAUCGACAGAUGAUUUUCAGGAGCGCAGAGAGAGGACAGAUUAAUGUGCAUAUAAUGAGGGAACAUUCAAGGGCUGUGGAGCAUUAGCAGAUUGUGGUGGACGGGAAUUGGAUAGAUUAUGGACUGUGUGCUUAUGUAAAAUCCCUCAGGACACCUUUAUUAAGAUUUGCAGCUCACAUCUCACAGAGGUCAAAUGGCGCAUUAUGGGUAAAUCACCAGUUUGAUUGACCUGGAAUGUGUGGAAAUUGAAGACACCUUGAGGACUGACCGCGCGCGCGUGUGUGUUGCAUACUGACGGCAGUGUUAUCUCCCCUGUCCAGGUGCAGUUUUAGGCGCUCAGUGAAAGAUUAUGGAGUGAAAUGUAAAAUGAACAUACCACAUUUCACCUACUUGCCUUAACUCUCUGGCCAGAGUAGCGGUUCGCCAGUGAGAGCUGGUAAACUAAUACUACCACAGAGUCUGUCACCCUGACCUGAACCUGAGUUUCAACUUUUCUGGGCAGUAAAAUUUUGGAAGAUUUACUGUGGACUGGCCUGUCCCUCAAGCUUACGUCCCACCUCUCUUACUCUCCAGUAAUCAGGAGGCAACUUGAGGCAGAUCUGCACAAUGGUCCAUUUGUAGUAGAUCUGGGCCUCUUAACUGAAGAAAUUUGACAGAUAAGGAACUGUUUCAUGCAGUACUUGGUCGUGUACGUGUAUGUUAACUGGUACAUUAAUCAGAUGACUGUUCGGUUCAGCUGCCUUUUCAGUAUCUAAUGUUAUUUAAACAUGACCAUUAAAUCUAUAUAUCCAGAACAGUAAAUCUGUGAGUGGUGUUUCCAGAAUUUCAUGACCUCUGCAUAAACAACAUUAUUUUGUGUAACACCAACUAAAUGCAAUUAAAUUUAUUGAAAUGAAUUAAAUUUUUAAUAGUCACACUAUACCCUUGUGAAAAAGAAGUUUGCUUAAAUGCAUUGAAUGCAGACAAGUAUUUUUAAGCAUAUUUAAAAAAAAAAAAAAAUUUGCAGAUCAUAUAAUAAUGAAAUAAAAGGCCAACUUAAGAUAUAUAGCCAGGAAAGUGUACCACUGGCGUAACUUUGUUUUAAAAAGUGGGUGGGACAAAGGGUUUGGGGUGGGGUGGUGGGUGGUUUGUGAAGAUCGUACAUCAGAAAUGUACAAUAAUAAAUGCACAAUUGUCAUAGAAUUCAUGUUUAAUAUGAUAGUUUCAUCCUUACAUCUACUAUAAUACAAUAUAUUUUUAGUCUCGAGACUAUAGUGAAAAAAAAUUUGUAGAUUUGCAUUAGGUAGUAUUAGUCCUAAUGGACUAGAGGUGGAAUUUUCGUUAAGCAUGUCAGAGGUUCUGGGUUCUAAACCUUGUGUGUUUAUUUCCUACUUCUUCCUCAAUAAAACCAAGAUGUUCAUCAGUGAUUGUAUAUCAAGAGCAGGGACGGAUACGUUUAUGUGCAUUUUGUUUUGUGAUUUCACAGGAACGAAUAGAGAGUCUCUGCAUUGGCGUUAAGCGAUAUAUUGAAGCGCUGUGUGUGAAGUCCAGAAAAUACUGUUGCACCACUGAUAACUGAGGCAACGAGCAUCAAGAGAACACUGUUGCGCCACUGAUAGUGGCAACGAUGACUCAUGAUUUAAAAAAACAACACACCCCAGUGCCAAAUCGAAAACAAACUAAUUGCUAAUCAACUAGAGACUAGGCGCAAAUUACGUCUAUGGCCAAGCGUCCUGCUACCAGGAUGCUUGUUAACAGGCUAUAUGUGUUAAAGAGAGUACAUUUCAUAGGCGUAAUUGCGGGUGGGACAUGUCCCCACCACUUUUUGAAACAUCUGACGACACAGAUAUAUCUAAUACAAAAGAAACAUCUUCAGUUGGUUAGCAAUUUGUUCGUUCUAUUUGGCACAGGGAUGUGUUGUUUUUGAAAUCAUGCCGCUGCUCUUGAUAUACAAUCACUGAUGAACAUCUUGGUUUUAAUAAGGAAGAAAAAGAAAAAAAAAAAAAAACACACAAGGGCAGAUUAGAACCCAGAACCUCUGACACGCUUAACGAAAAUUCUAUCACUAGCCCAUUAGGACUAAUACCAGCGUUGCCAAGUCUGCGGUUUUCCCGUGAAAUUGGGCUACUUUAACACUGUUGCAGCGGGUAGUUUUUCUUGUCCUCGUGUUAAAUCGACCCAAAAUAACAUGAUAUUUAGCCCCUGGAAUGCGAAUUUUACCAAGGGAGCCCCACCAAAAACACAAAUUUUACCCCCAGGAACACGAUUUUUACCGUGGGACCCCCCUGAAAUGCAAUUGGGCUAGUUUUGAGGAGCAAUAAUGCAAAUCUACACAUUUUUUCACUAUAGUCUCGAGACUAACAAUAUAUUGUAUUAUAGUAGAUGUAAGGAUGAAAUUCCAUUAAAUAAAUUCCAUCCAAUAAAUUCCAUCCAAUAAAUUCCAUUAUUUUGUAAAAAAAAAAAAAUAUAUAUAUAUUUCACUCAUUUUUGUGUGAAAUAAAAAAUGAUUAGUUCAGUAGAUUUGCUUUACAGUAAACCUGAAAUCCUUUAACUUUUUUUUACAUGUGAGGGUGACAGUACACUUUUAAAAAGUGAACUUUGUAAUAGUCAGCUUAAAGGUUUUACAUUAAGUUUUAAAUCAUUUUAAUAACCUUUUUUCAUUCUUUAAAGUACUUAUUUUGUGUUGACUAACAUACUACAGCAAAUUUUAUAGUGCUUGAAUUUAACUGUAGUGUGUUAUACAAUAAUAUAUUUAAAUAGUUUUAAACUAUGCAACUUCAUUACAAAUGUGUAAUUACAAAUAUAUUUAAAUAUGUCACAUACAAGUUUCAUUAGAAAUUACAUUCAAGUAUUUUUAGUUUACCGUUAAUGCUUGUCAGUAAUACACUUCUACCAUUAUUUCAAAGACAAUAGAAGUAAUUAUGAAAUUACACAUAAAGAUUAAGUCCCUAUUAGGCAGGUCAAAAAAACACUCUAAAACUCAGCUAGUUGUAUUUAAUACAAAUUUAAACUGUAACACAUCUUUUCCAUAUCUAUAACAUGAAAACAGUACAUUCAGUUCACACUUUCUUUUAAAAGUAUAUUAUUUCUGUAAUAAAUAUUCUAUUUUUUAAAAAUGUUCUUUUUCACAACACUGUAAAACAUGAUAGGUUAUUUGAACUUAUUUCUUCUCUUUAACUCCAACUGUCAUGACAAGUUUUGGAUUUUAAACUCAAGUUUAUAUGUUUUCAGAAGUUAAACUUAAAAUAAUCCAUUGUCUUGACUAUUAGUGAGUUGGUUAUCUUCAUGGUUAGUUGAGUUUACUCUCAUUUUCAAAGCAGCAUUUCUAGGUUUAAGCACCUGGAAAUGUUUUACAGUGAAGGGUAAUAGUGUUUUUACAA